rnacentral:ncRNA from 1 species
GAAUGCAGCCCUAAUCGGGCGGUAAAUUCCGUCCAAGGCUAUAUACGGGCGAGAGACCGAUAGCGAACAAGUACUGCGAGGAAAAGAUGAAAAGAACUUUGAAAAGAAAGUCAAAGAGUGCUUGAAAUUAUUGGGAGGGAAGCGGAUGGGGGCCGGCGAUGCGCCCCGGUCAGAUGUGGAAUGGUGAAAGCCGGUCCACUGAUCGGAUCGGGGCAUGGA